CAAUAGCGUAUAUUAAAGUUGUUGCGGUUAAAAAGCUCGUAGUUGGAUUUCUGCUGAGAACGACCGGUCCGCCCUUUGGGUGUGUAUCUGGCUCUUUCUUGGCAUCUUCUUGGUGAACGUUGCUGCACUUGACUGUGUGGAGCGCUACCCAGGACUUUUACUUUGAGGAAAUUAGAGUGUUUCAAGCAGGCAUACGCCUUGAAUACAUUAGCAUGGAAUAAUAAGAUAGGACCUCGGUUCUAUUUUGUUGGUUUCUAGAGCUGAGGUAAUGAUUAAUAGGGAUAGUUGGGGGCAUUCGUAUUUAACUGUCAGAGGUGAAAUUCUUGGAUUUGUUAAAGACGGACUACUGCGAAACAUUUGCCAAGGAUGUUUUCAUUAA
rnacentral:rRNA from 1 species